GGAUAAGUGCUGAAAGCAUCUAAGCAUGAAGCCCCCCUCAAGAUGAGAUUUCCCAACUUCGGUUAUAAGAUCCCUCGAAGAUGACGAGGUUAAUAGGUUCGAGGUGGAAGCGUGGUGACACGUGGAGCUGACGAAUACUAAUCGAUCGAAGACUUAAUCAAUUUUUAAA
rnacentral:rRNA from 1 species